rnacentral:lncRNA from 1 species
UGUGUGUGUGUGUGUGUGUGUGUGUGUGUGUGUGUGUGUGUGUGUGUGUGUGUGUGUGUGUCUGUCUCUGUCUGUCUGUAUGUAUGUAUGUAUGUGAGAGAGCAAGAGAGGGAGAGAGACAGGCAGAGAGAAAGAGAGAGAUAGAGAGAGUAAACGAGAGUUAAUUAAUCAUUAACGCCAGAGGAGGUGUGGUAUAUGGACAAUACACCAUGGCUAAAGGGUUGUUCUUAUGCACGAUGCAGAAGGAAGUGCCUGGACACAGCCCUUAGCCCCUUAGCCGUGGUAUAUUGGCCAUAUACCACAUAUCCCUGAGGUGCCUUAUUGGUAUUAUAACCAGGUUAACAAUGUAAUUAGAACAGUAAAAAGUCAGUUUAUUCUCGCUCUCACCCUCAAAGCUGUAUUUUCCUAUUCUCUCUUCAACCCUCCUCUGUCUGCCUGGCACGAGGGUGAUGACCAGAUGACUGAGAAACUAUGAAUCUAUGAAGCCACGACAACUCAUAGAUCAACUGUGUUCUGUCCUGCCCAGAAACAACAACCUAUAAAACCAGCCAGGUUGCUCACGAUUGACUGUGAAAUUUGAAGUCCGUCCAGGUAAGCCGGACGUUGUUAGAAGACCUUAACCUCUAUGGGCUAGGUGGAACGUCACCGUCCCACUCUAUUCAACAGCCAGUGGAACAGCGUGGCGCAAAAUACAAACACCUCAAAAAUGCAAUAAUUUCAAUUUUUCAAACAUACGACUAUUUUACACCAUUUUAAAGAUAAGACUCUCGUUAAUCUAAACACAUUGUCCAAUUUCAUAAAGGCUUUAUAGCGAAAGCAAAACAUUAGAUUAUGUCAGGAGAGUACAUAGCCCAAAAUAAUCACACAGCCAUUUUCAAAGCAAGCAUAUAUGUCACAGAAACCCAAAACACAGCUAAAUUAAGCACUAACCUUUGAUGAUCUUCAUCAGAUGACACUCCUAGGACAUUAUGUUAUACAAUACAUGCAUGUUUUGUUCAAUCAAGUUCAUAUUUAUAUCAAAAAACAGCUUUUUAUUGGCGUGUGAUGUUCAGAAAAUGUAUCCCCACCGACCACUUCCGGUGAAUUUACAAAAUUACUCAUCAUAAACGUUGACAAAAUACAUAACAAUUAUUUUAAGAAUUAUAGACAGAGACCUCCUUUAUGCAAUCGCUAUGUCAGAUUUUAAAAUAGCUUUUCGGCGAAAGCACAUUUUGCAGUAUUCUGAGUACAUAGCUCAGCCAUCACGGCUAGCUAUUUUGACACCCGCCAACUUCGAGGAACACUAAACUCAGAAUUAGUAUUAGAAAAAUUGUAUUACCUUUGCUGAUCUUUGUCAGAAUGCACUCCCAGGACUGCUACUUCCACAAGAAAUGUUGUUUUUGUUCCAAAUAAUCCAUAGUUAUGUCAAAAUACCUCAGUUUUGUUCAUGCGUUCAGGUCACUAUCCAAAGGGAAAUGCGCGAGCGCAUUUCGAGACAAAAAAAAUCUAAAUGUUCCAUUACCGUACUUAGAAGCAUGUCAAACGCUGUUAAAAAUCAAUUUUUAUGGUAUUUUUCUUUUUCUUGUAAAAUAGCAAUAAUAUUCCAACUGGACAAUAGUGUAUUCAUUCAAAGAGGAAAAGAAAAAAACAGCGAGGUCUCGUGAAUGCGCAUAUCCAAUCUCUUAGUCACCAGGCAGACCACUGACAAACUGCUACUAUACUCUGCCCAGAGACAGGAGACGCCUCAAUCCGCUUUCUGAAGGCUUUAGAGAGCCAAUGGAAGCCUUAGAAAGUGCUACGUAACCCCAGAGAUACUGUAAUUUCGAUAGAGAACCAAAAGAAGAACUACAAAUUCUCAGACAGGCCACUUCCUGCUUGGAAUUUUCUCAGGUUUUUGCCUGCCAUAUGAGUUCUGUUAUACUCACAGACACCAUUCAAACAGUUUUAGAAACUUCAGAGUGUCUUCUAACCAAAUCUACUAAUAAUAUGCAUAUUCUUGUUUCUGGGCAAGAGUAGUAACCAGUUGGGUACUCUGCUGACAUAAUCUAAUGUUUUGCUUUCGUUGUAAAGCCUUUUUGAAAUCGGACAGUGUGGUUAGAUUAACGAGAGUCUUGUCUUUAAAAUGGUGUAAAAUAGUCAUAUGUUUGAGAAAUUGAAGUAAUAGCAUUUCUAAGGUAUUUGAAUAUCACGCCACAGGAUUACACUGGCUGUUGAGCAAGCGUCCCACCUAGCCCAUAGAGGUUAACCUGUCAACAUCACUCUUAUCAUAGGCUUUAGCAAUUAUCUUUCCAAUUACACACACACACACACACACACACACACACACACACACACACACACACACACACACACACACACACUUCGUUAAAAAUAACUACUCCCCAGUAAGGAACCUUCAGAGCAUGGAAGGGAGGUAUGUUGUUAGAGCUAUAUAAUGAAGAUAGUUGACCUCAGCUGAGACACUGUCAAUAGUCAAUAAUGACCCAGCAUGCUCUCUGCCUUGACUUGAACCCUGUCCAAUCAAUGUUUAUUGGUCACAUUAAUGUUUUUUUUUUGGUGGUUGCCCAUUGGUCAUGUUAAUGUUGUUUUUUUGGUUGGUCAUGUUAAUGUUGUUUUUUUGGUUGUCUAUUGGUCAGGUUAACAUUGUUAUGUGAUUGUCCAUUGGUCAUGUUAAUGCAAUUUUUUGGUUCUCUAUUGGUCAUGAUGAGCAAUAUGCAUCAAUGCCACAACAGACACUUCAGUACCACUUUAUUUGACCAGUUACAGUGUCAUAACAUUGUCAUAUUGUCAUAAACAUGCAUAACAAAUUAUAUAAAAUAUCCUGACAGUUUAUGUCACUGAAUGUCAAGUGACAAUCAGUAAUAAAAUGUCAAACAGGACUUAACUAUCCCAUAAAAUGCAAUGAGAUUGAAUCUAAGCAAUUAUGGAUUUUCUUUAUUGAAAGCAUCCCAACAUUGCUAGUGUGACAUUAAUUUAUAACCCUCGUCAAAGGUUCCCACCAACGUUAAUUCGACUGAUUACAGUAAUUUGAUUUGUGAAAUAGUAAACUACUACUGAAAACACCAGGGGGGUGCAGUCCUUGCCUAAGCUGUGGUUGGAAAACAGAUUCAAUGAAUACGACCCAGGUGUCCUCUCCAUUUACCACGUGAGGGACUCUGAAACAGGUGGGAGGGAGUGGUAGUUGCUAUGGUGAUGACUAGGGAACACCCACUGUUGGUGACAUCAAUAACUCAUAACCAGAUAAUCAUCAUAGGAAACUCUUAUCUCUGGAGGCUUCACGCUUUUCUCAAACAGAUACUGUAAACCUGUAUAUAAAAAAGGGCAAAUACAAAUAGAUCAUAUAAGAAUAUAAUAUUUUAUUUUCCUCCACUCUUUCAUUUUCUCUCUCAGAGUAUGUCGGUAUGUUUGUGUGUGUGUGUGUGUAUGUGUGCAUGCGUGCGUGCGUGCGUAAGUCUUUGUGUGCUUCCACGUGAGCACGCAUCUGUCUGAGUGCAAGAGCUUUCAAAAGUGCGUAAAAUAUUAAGUCAGUUAAGACAAAAAAUGUGUACAGUAAAUGAAGCAAAAUAUCUCUGUACUCCAAAUUAUUAAAUAGCUUAUUUAUGCUCCUUGGUGUAGAUGACCAGUCCAUAUACAGAACAUUAUUAUUAUAUACAUUAGCAUAUCUGAGAUUGUAUUUCCCUCUGCUUACAGUAUGGCAGUCUACUGAUAGCUUUUCCAUUGUGUGUUUUCUACAUGUCAGGCUCUUUUUAAAAUCAGCUGUUCUCGUAGCCUGUUACCAGAUCUGUUGGUGCUGUAUUGCCAACUCAAACCAAUUACCAUAGGAGUUGUCAAAACAGCAUAAGCAGAUCUGGGAUCAGGCUACAAUUUCUCCAUGACAGCACUUCAUAAGAUGUGAAUUUAUUGAAUGUAAUGCAUUAAUUGUUUUGGCUUGCAUAAUUAAGGUGCAAUAUGCGGAAAUCGCUCUGCCAUUUCCUGGUUGCAAAAAUUCUAAUAGUUCGCCUAAUGUCAGUUUAUGUGACAAAACAAGCAGUCAUUGUGUAGAGAAUCAUUGUACCAUCUAAACUGCUGUGAAAUAUAUAUUCCAUAACCAACAAAUAUUGUAUUUCUAGCUGUUUGAAGCUGGUGUACAAAACCAAAAGUAAAACAAGCAAAAAUGAAACAUAAGAAUGGGAAGCAUAGAAAUAGUGCAUAUAAAACAGAUCUACAGCUUCUCAGACUCGCUUUUAAUGAGAAUGACAGAUCUAUAACUCAGAUUUCUAUGUAAAUUUGGUCAGGUCACCCAAAAAGUUACAUAUUGCAGCUUUAACUAAUGAAUUUAAAUUAAUAUAAUGUAUGUACAGUAUGUAUUUGGUCAUUUCCUGUGAGAAGGCAUGUUGAGAAGGAUUAUUCCCCUCUGAUAUUUUAUAACUGAGAAUAAGAUAAAGAUACCCUCUAAUAAUCAAAGAUGUCUGCCUGGUCUUGUUUGUCUCUGUCAAUUGUUUUUAGCACAUUCACACAUGAAAUAACAUAACACAGUUGAAGUUGUAUUAAUUUUCCUAAUAUAUUGUGACACACA